AUCUCUGUGGUGCAAUUGGUCUAGUGCGUUUGGCUGUUACCUGAAAGGUCAGUGGUUCGAGCCCACCCAGGGACG